rnacentral:misc_RNA from 1 species
UUAACUAUUGUAUAGUACUCAGACGUCACUAAAAUUCAGAGUUGGGUCCUCUGGCGGGCGCAUGCAGGCAGAGCCCACAGUGGAGGCCACGGCCCGCCAAAGCAACAAGAGUAUGUAGACACGGGUGGGAUUCACUCGGCCCCUGGCCCGAAGGCCAGGGCAUUAGUAUUCCGCGCGGCUGGCAACGCUGUGAGUUUAAGACAGCCCCACAAGGUCGAGUACACGACGUCGCUGGGAUACACCGGUGAUCUUUUUUAAUGAUCCUUCCGCAGGUUCACCUACGGAAA